CAUGUUUCACAUAAUAAACUUUUAGUUUGCAUUGAACAACCAGUUUCAACAGUCUAAGCACAUUAGUACAAGCUAGGAUAUAUAAUGAUCAAUGAACUACUUGACUUUCUAACUUCACUUUCCGGGAACAAAGUUGGUGGCAUAUGACCAAACAUUGUUGUUAACAGGGUCAGCCAAGUGAUCAGCUAGGUUCUCAAUCGGUCCAUUUCCUGUCACAAUAGCUUGCACAAAAAACCCGAACAUGGAGAACAUGGCUAAUCUUCUUGAGCUCCUUCACUUUAAGCUCAGCAAAAGCCUCAGGAUCGUCUGCAAGCCCUAAGGGGUCAAAGCUCCCCCCAGGGUACAAAGGGUCUACAACUUCACCGAGAGGUCCUCCUGCAAUUCUGUAGCCUUCAACUGCACCCAUCAAGAUCACUUGUGUUGCCCAGAUUGCCAAAAUGCUCUGAGCAUGAACUAAGCAUGGGUUUCCCAAGUAGUCUAGUCCACCCUCACUGAAGAUUUGAGCUCCUGCCUUGAACCAAACAGCUUCUCCGAACUUGCUCCAUUACGAGCUAGGAAUUCAGGGAAGACACAUCCUAGAGCACCGAGCAUGGCCCAUCUUGAAUGGAUGACCUCGAGCUCACGGUUCUUGGCAAAUGUCUCGGGAUCGACUAAGAGCCCAGCUGUGUCCCAACCAUAGUCACCGGGAAACUCUCCGGUGAGAUAAGACGGGGCUUCAUUGGAGAAUGGGCCCAAGUACUUGACACGGUCAGGACUGCACCAUGGGCUGCCGGAUGACACAUUUUUGGACUUGGCUGCGGUUUUGCGCAUGGUGAUUCUGCCCUCACCGAGGAGGUUGGAUGUAGAAGAACCAAGCUGUGAGAAGGGGAGAGAGCCAUUGUUGAAGCAGCCAUAUGAGAAAAUGAAAGUGUUUACGAGUGUGUAGAGGGCCGAGUGAUUGUUAUGUUUUGCAUAGAGAAGCAUGGUGGGUAUUUGUAUAGGUUUGAUGCUAGAAAGUCGUUAUCUUUCUGCUAUCUUCAUCCCUUUUCUCACUGGUGAAAUGAAGUUCAAAGAGUUUCAAUCCUUUGAUCAAUUCCAGUUGGCAUGAUAGGCUCCAGUUAUUUAGUUCCACAAAGAUAGCAAUUGGAAAAUAGUUAUGCUUUGAUUUCUGACCAAGUAGAAUUAGCCCUACGAACAUGGCCGUCUUUUUGCAAUAAUGAUCAUAAUGACUCGAUUUCCAGUUGGUUUGAUAUGCACCACCAGCAUAACGUACGUAUAGAUACCAUAGAACAUCAAAGGAGAAAGAAUAAUGAAUUUUUCGACUAGAAAUGAGGAUGUUAAAACUAGACACAUGAUUACAAAAAUCUGAAAUAACAUUAAGAAUCUCUAUAAUUAAGGAUACAUUCAACUAAACAUAAAUUAGAAACAAAAUAUUACUCUAACGACGACUCAUUUGGCAUAUGUAAACCUUCAGACCAAUGUUCUAAAAAAUGCUAGGCGCUAGUCGGGCGGUAGAGGUGAAAUUUUGAAACCAAAAACCGAAAAAAAACCGAGCCGAAAACCAAACCGAAACUGGAAAAAACCAAACCUAAUUAAGAAAAACCGAACCGAACCAAAUUAGUUUGGUUUGGUUUUUGGUUUCGGCCCUUGAAAAACCGAACCGAACUGAAAAACUGAAUAUCCCUAAAACGACGUCGUUUUUUGUCUUUAUUUUCAUAUUAAAUAUUUGAUUUGAACAAUAUGAUUUUUAGGUUUUAUGUUCUAUAUAAUUAUCUGUUUGUCUUUUCUAAUAUUUUGCUUUUUAUUUUCAUUUUAUGUACAUAUAGAAAUGUUUUAGGUGUCGUGUAUGCAAAGUAUAGAGAGUGAUAUGUUACCUCUAAAAUCGAAGACCUUAUUAUUGCGAGCUUUAGAUGACAAAUUCUAAUAUUUAAUUUAUUUUUCUCUUCUUUAUUCAAAUUUAUGAUUUUUAAAAUUUAAAAUUCGGAAUUUAUUUGGAUGAACUUUAAACUAUGGAGUCUAUAUGUUGUGUUCAAGAUGAACUUACAAGUUUUAAAAUUAUGGUUUCAUGGUGUGCUAGUGUGGUCAAUUCUCAAUACUUUCGAAAUUAUUGAGUAUUAAACUUUCAAAGUAUCUAUUUGGUUUAUAAAUUGUUGGUUUGUUGAAGAAAUCAUUGUCAAAAAUUUUAUUGAUAUAUUAUAUAUGCUUAUAAAAAAAAACUAGUAAUGGAAGAAAAAAAAGACCUAAAAUACGAUAAUUUUUUACCAAGGCAAAAGCAUACAAAUUUUAAGAAAAAUUAUUUUAAAAAAGAAGAAAAACAAAAAAAAAACUGAACCAAACCACGGUUUGGUUUGGUUUCCGGUUCAAGGUCUCAAAAAAUACCAAACCAAACUGAAUUUUUUAUUCGGUUUGGUUUCAGGUUUUAUGUGAAAACCAAACUCACCCCUAUCGGGCGGACAGCCGGUGACUAGCGCUUAAACGGGUCAAUCGGGAGAUUAAUCAGUUUUCUAACUCUCUAGACGGAAACAGUGAAGCACCGCCUAACACGUAGGCGUGGAUUAAUCGGCUAUAAGCGGAGAUUUUUAAACCAUUGCUUGAGACAACAACUAGUCCUUAAAACUUGUAUGACGAAAUUGACUGUGGCUCAAAUUAUAAGGAGCUACAUUUAGAAUAUCUGCUGCUAUGGGGCAAGUAAGCAAAACAUGGGAAGUAUCUUCAUAAGGACAUGGGCAUGAUAUGCAUCAAGUAUCACCUGUAUAACCCUUUGUAGUAAGUGCACGUACCUCUCAUUGGCAGUCGGUUAAAGCAAGCUUUCCAGAAGCAAAUACGCACCUCCUCGGUACUUUUGUUUUCCACAAUCGUUUCUGCUAUAAGCCGUUUUUAUGGUCAUGUCUUUUUUUUUUUUUUUUUUUUUCUGUUUUAGGUAGAACAAAAUUUUCUUGCCUUGCUUUUUUUUUUCAAUAUGAUAUUUGUUUGCUCAAUACCAUUUUGGUCUAGUGACAUAAGUCUCUCCUUGUAAAUGAGAAGUCGUGAGUUCGACUCAUAGUAUUGUAGCAUAUUAUUGUGCGUUUGAUCCAAAAAUAAAAUAUGAUCUUUAUUUGGGAUCAUAGCGUUUUUUUGCUUUUUGCUUCAAUAUGCAUGUGGACAUUUUAUGUACUUAUAGGCUCAAUUAUGGUGUGAGCUGAAAUAUGUAGUAGGAGUGUUACCUGUACGUGGAUUAUUUGAUCUUAUUUACCCUCUUUACACAAGACAAUGCAUUGAUUCAUGAUGUAUCAUUUAUUUGAAUGGAUUGGAAUAUCUUCUUUAAUUCAAAAAUUAAUUAAAGAUCUCUUUCCUUAAGAUUGUGAGCAAACUUUUGCAUUUAUACAUAAUUAAUGGCCACUAUGAGCAAGUAAUAUUUAUUUUCAUUACCUAUUAAAGUUCAUUCAUCGCUAUAUAAGCAUGGAUGUAGCAAGAAAACUCCUAUAGUUUAUUCUAAGCCUGAGCCAGAGAUAAAAUGAUGAGAAAAGCAUUGUGGCAGCUCUACUGUUUUCUGCUUUUCCUUGUCCUAGCGCAUUGCAUUCUCCAUUGUGGCAGCCACCCUGUUUGGGGAAGAAAGUAUUUCGUCCGUAUUGUUAACAAUCUCGAAAACAACGAAGUGCUUAACUUUCAAUGUAAAUCCCUAGAUGAUGUAAUUGGUCCGCGUACUCUUCCUCCAUUUGGUGAAUUUGAAUUUAAAUUUCACUUCGGCCCUGAUACAGUGUUUGAAUGCUCUACGUGGUACUCAAAUCGCAUGGCUAAUUUUACAGCAUGGGAACCAAUUGUUCAACCUUUAUGAGGCGGGGCGCAUUUAAUUUAACUAUAUACUAAAGUAUGGUUUACUGUUCAUAAUCACUGUUCACAUCACAUGAAUAGUGCACUGUUUGGUGGGUGUGAUUCUGUUUAUGCCCUCUGUUUCUAAAAAACCACGAAAUUACCAUUAACCCUAGAUAUAUGAUUGUCUUCUAUAUAAUUAGUUGUUGUUGAGGAUGUUGUGGGUUGGGAAGUAAUUUUUGAACUCUUAUCUUCAUUACCGUGUCUCAAUUUUUUUUUUUUUCAUAGAUCUCACAAAGGGUAUUGUUAUCGAAGUCAAUCUAAAAUAGGGUAGUGGUAUCAUAGACCAAGGUUGAGCAAGUUUAUUUUCUUAAUUAUUGAGGUGAAACAAUUUUGGUUCUAUUUUAGCAACGGAAUAUUAAUUGAAGUACAAAUAUCUUUGAUUUGGCCAAAGAAAUUAUCUGGUUGCAAACCAACUCCUAAUUAACAAAACGUACUAAGUUAAUUUAAAUAUCGUGUGAUGAAGUACUAUGUUAUAUAUACUAAUGCAAUAUAUUUGGUUUUUGUUUUGUUUACUUUUAAUUUACUUGGUUUCUCAUCUUUGGUUUUAGUUUUGUUUACUUUCAAUUGAGUUGGUUCCUCAUUUUUUGUUUGGUUUUUAUGUCAAGUUCUCAUCUUUGACAUUUUGAGAUCAGUCUCUUUAGGAGCUUGAGAUAAAUAUUCUUUUCAGUUAAUUAAUCACUUGCUUUGUGUGUGUGUGUGUGUGUGUGUUUUGUUUUUUUUUUUUCUUUACUNUAGUAUNAUAUANCUUUAUUAGUUAGUUUUUAGUUUUUUUUUUUUUUUUUUUUCCUAUCUUUAGUUUCCUAUAAAUCAAGUUUUCUAAAAAUUGCGUUUUUGGUGAAAAACAGUUAAACAAAUAUGAGCAUUUUGUAUAGUCAAAACUAGAGCUAUAUUUUCGAUCAUACUGCUUCAGAUAAGUUGUUCUAUUUUGUGCACUUACAAGACAUUUACUAUUUUGGAUAGGUUACAACACUAGAUGUUUUGUAUUGAAGUUCUAUGAAGUACAUAUCAAAAACUUUUUCAUCAAUCAACUGAAUCAUUAACCAGUUUUAUAAAUAUACACCGCGCCAAGGCGCGGGUAUCAACUCUAGUUGUAUAUACAGUGUGUGAUCUGCUACUGUGUUCAGGUACAACAUAGCAACUCGACGAUAUGUAGGAGUCAUUAAUUUUUGGACUGUAGUACCAUGAAAAUGUUUGGGACAAAUGUAGUUUCAAACAAGAAAUAUUUAUAAGCUACAAGUAUGUUUUUUUAUUUUUUAUUUUUUUUAUAUAUGAAUAAAGGGCUGGUGCGGCUGUUUUCAAGCCUUCAUUAAUGAAACUGUCGAAUACAAGAGGGGCAUAUAUAAAGCCUAAACCCCUGAUUACAAAGACCCAAAAUAAUAUCGAGAAUCUCUAUAAAAUACAUGUAUUCUGAUAAACACCAACUAGCAAAUAGUACUACCCUAAAGACGAAUAUAUUUGCUUUGUCAUAUCGGUGACAUAAUGGAAAGAUCACUAGAUAUGUAACACGAUUACUUAUCCUAAUGUCUGAUAAAGAAUAGUACACAAGAAGUUAAUUAGCAAAGAAUAUUAGAAUACUUAUAUAUACACCAAGUUCUAAUACCAAACGUGAUCGAUCCAAUUUUUUUAUUUUUUUGAUGAAAGGGAUUGUAGUAAUCAAACUGGGCACAAAUUAUCUACCCAAACUACAGGAUUUGGAGCUGCAUAUGUUGUACUAGCCAAUCUGUGCGCCACUGUAUUGCAAGUUCUACUACCCAUGAGAGAGAGUCAUGGAUGUCACAAAGUAACCCUUCCAGCCCUACAUAGGUACCUUGCGUAUAGGAGAUAACCAAAAUUGCCUCUAGACAAUCUGUUUCUAUGAUAGCACAUACACAAUGUUUUCAAAAGUUUUAGUCCUUCUUUGAUAGCAUAUACCUCCGCCUUCUUUGCAGAGACUACUGGGGCAAUAGGAAUGACCAAAGCUGCCUUGAAUUUUCCUUGAUUAUCCCUGAGUAUCCCUCAAGUGCCUCCACGAAGAAAUGUUGGAAGAAAGCUACCAUCCACCAUGAGUUUGGUUUCCAUUUCUUGUGUUGUAGUUGGGGAGUCUGCCUUACUGGAGGUUGUAUUUGAACUUGUUGGUUUUCAUUGAACUAGGCCAUUGCCCAUGCUUGUACUUCUUGUGCUGUUUGAUGCUUUUCAUUCCAUAGUAUAUUGUUUCUGUUAGGCCAAAGAGACCACAAGCUGAUGAGAAGUUUGGCAAAGAGCUCCUUUGGCAUAUGUAAACCUUGAGACAACAACCAGUCCUUAAAACUUGUACGAGGAAAUUGAAUGUGGCUCAAAUUAUAAGGAGCUGCAUUUAGAAUAUCUGCUGCUAUGGGGUAAGUAAGCAAAACAUGGGAAGUAUCUUCAUAAGGACAUGGGCAUGAUAUGCAUCAAGUAUCACCUGUAUAACCUUUUUUAGUAAGUGCACGUACUUCUCAUUGGCAGUCGGUUAGAGCAAGCUUUCCAGAUGCAAAUACGCACCUCCCCGAGUCCCCGUAAUUUUUGCUUUCCACAAUUGUUUCUACUAUGGGUCCGUUUUUUUUUUUUUUUUUUUUUCUUAGUUUCAGGUAGAACAAAAUUUUCUUGCCUCUUCACAAAAACAUUUCUUGCCUUGUUCGUUUUUUUUUUUUUUUUUUUCAAUAUGAUCUUUGUUUGUGAUCAUAGCGUUUUUUUGCUUUUUGCUUUAAUAUGCCUCUGGAUAUUUUAUGUACUUAUAGGCUCAAUUGCGAUGUGAGCUGAAAUGUGUAGUGGGAGUGUUACCUGUACGUGAAUCAUACACAAGACAGUGCAUCGAUUCAUGAUGUAUCCUUUCUAUUAAGAAAAACAUAAGGGUCUUAUGACUUCUACUUAGUUGCUGAUUCAUAGAAUUAUUACCACUCUUAGGCUCAGUUUAGGAUUGCAUUUUUGGGUUAAAUCCUGCUUUUUCUCACCCAUUUAUGACUGAUAGCCUGUUUGGUAAGCAUUUCAUAUCUGCGUUCUUUUAACGAUUGCGGCCGGAAACCGCAAAAAUGAAAAGCAGCGGAGGACCUGCUUUUUCUUAUCCAGCGUUUUGUGAACGUGAAUCAAAUAGCCUGUACAUUCAUGAAAUUCCAGAAACAUCCCCACUGAAAUUCAAAAGUCAAACCCCUCGGAAUUAAUUCUCGUUCUCUUCUUCUGGGUUUCUUUCGUUUUUUGCCUUCUUUUGCAGCUCCUCAUCCCCUUGCCUUCGUACCUCUCUCUUCACAGCUAUUCACUUCUUCUUUGAUGGAUUACUGUAUCAUAUUAUUUUAUAUAUAGAUCUGUAAUUGAUCGUAAGGUGAUCGAGGUUUCCAUCGAAUCGCAUACACUUCGUAAUUUGAUGAGAAGAACAAAAGAUCCAUAUGAGUCAAAAGAUCUGUAUCUAUUUUUGAAAUUCUUUGUUUUUGAUAUCAUGUUUACCAAACAUUGUAGCAGUACUUAUUUUUACCUCAACACUUUCAAAUAUAUGAUUUACCAAACAUUAUACCGAGAUUUUUUACAACAGAUUAUUUUUACAACAGAGUUAUUUUAAAGUAGAGUUUAUAUACCUCAAUAUCAAACUAGGCUUUAUUGGUGGACAUAUAACCAAAAUGACGGUUUCUGAUGUCCUAGAAAUGAAAAACAAAAAUUUGAAAGAGUGGCAUUAUUUUUUGAGCAAUUUAAUGACAUCACACAUUAUAACCUAUACUAAAGACCUAUCUCUAAUGUACCGUUCAUUUUAUUUGUCCUUAUUCUCUCGAUAAAUUUUUCAGUAUUUCCGAAAGACCAUGUGGCAUUGCCUGGUUAUCCAAGCCUAUGAGACGUUGACACGUGACACUUUUUAGACAACUCGCAUCAAGGUUAAUUCAUUUAGUUUUCAACUGCAGUAAAACAAACCCCUCAACUAUCGCCGUUAAGUGAUAGUGUGAUAAAAAAAUGUAAAUCUCUGAAUUUUGUUCGUCCUCUCGCCGUCUGCCUUUCUCUUUGUGUUCUUUUCAGCAGAAGCACAAGGAAGCUUGUGGGUUCAGUUAAGCCUUGUCGUCGCCCAUAAGAUCCACUUUGUCCAACAAUUGGGAUUUUCAGUUCCCCGUAGCUAUUACCCGAUCUCCUCCACGCGUCCCCAGGUUUCUUCUCUUCUCUUCUCAUUUCCCAAUUGUUUUUCUUGCUCUUUGGGUCUUGCUAGUUUUUGUUAAUUUUGGUUAGAGAGUUGAAUGAUUGUGAUCAGACUCACUUUUCGGAGAAGAAAAGAAAAUUGAAAAUGGGAGAACUGAGUUCAAAGAAAGAGAAUUUGGGAAACGAAAUCCGCACAAACCGACGGAGGUGAGUAUUCGACGAUUUUGGUUAGUUAUAUGGAAUUGAUGAAACUUCGACGGCUCUCCCUUCUUGAAUAUGUUGUUUAUGGGAUUUGAUUUCUACACCAAAGUGAGGAAAAUUCUAUUAAGCUAUCAUAUAUUCAUAUUGGCUAUGAUUGAAUGGUACAUGACCAUAAUAGCUUGAAUUCCAGUAAAAGCUUUGUGGAUUUGGGAUUUGAAGUUUGAGGUUUUAUUUUUAUUUUUUGGAUUUGAAUUUUGCAGUUUUUGAAAUUUUACAUGUUAGUUGAUGUUGUUAUCCUUUUCAUGUUAAAGUCCAAUGUAUGAUUUAGCAGGUUAGAUGAGAUAUUGGAUUUGCUGAACCUUCAGGUAGUUAGAAAAUAUGCCAAUGUCUCCAAUGGAGGGGUGCCAUUUAAUUAGAAAGUAAACAUCCCACAUUGUUAUCAGCCCUAGACCACCAUUUUACACAUUUCAGACCAACAAUUUGAUUGCUUGUUUUCUCUGCUAUGUACUCAAAUCUAUUACAGCUACUGGGAUAGCUGCAUCACCAAAACUAGUUCUUUGUGUAUCACAGCUUAUGACUCUAAUUGUUUUACCAUCAAGGUCACACAGAAUACUUGAUUUUGGAUUAGUCAUUUACUUAUCCAUUUUGUCAAAUAUGGGUUCUGCUGAGAAAUGCCAGGAUGGCAAGUAAUUAAGCAACAAUUUUUGGAUGAUCCUUCUGAAACAACUAUAUACAUAGCUGGUUUGCAGGCUGCAUGGAAGCUUGGUGCUGCAUUCAAAUUGGUUAUCAUUUGAUUAUGACACUGCGUCUAGUAUCUGCUAAGUUUAUUGGUCUUUAGGUUCAAAAGUUUCGUUUUAUCGAAACUCUUAUGAGUUUUAUUUGGUUUGCAUAUAGUUCUCUUUUGAAGCUUGUAUUAUAUCUAAAUAUUUCUCAUGUUCUCUUUUUAGAUCUACCCCAAAUCCUGUUUUUUCUUUUUUUGAAUUCUGGGUGCACAGGCAGUGAGAUUGUAGUUGUCAGUGACAAACUAAGGAUAAAUUGGAAGAGCUUUAAGGUAUCUCAAUCAGUGAUUUCCUGAAUUACUUCAUUUGGAAGAGCCUUAAGAUAACUUGGUUAUUCUGAUUCCUAUAUGAUGUCUGAUAAUGUGUGGACAUGGGUGCAGGUUGAACCGUAACAGAUGAGGAUUGGCAUAGUUGAGUUUGAGGAUGAUGUGGUACUUGACAGUGAGGGUGACGAAGUUAAUGGAAGGUGACUCAUACAAGUAUGUCUCUGGACAAAAAGUGCACUGCAGGUUUGUAUAUUUGCUUCUUCUUUUUUUUGUUGUAUUUUGGUUAAUUUUUUGAUAGCAGUUGGCGUUGAACGUGUUGAUGAUAUGAAGUUUUUUUUCUUAAUGAAUGCUUGAGGAAGUAAUCUCUGCAAGACUUUGCAUUUACUAAUUUGAAUGACAAGUUUCUUGAAAUAAUUUUCAUACUACGGAGGAGUAAAGGCCGAAAUAUUUGUGCUGCUUGCAGAAUUUAGCUACAUCGACUCCCAUGAUCUUGGUUGGUCGCAUUACUGUAAGAGAAAGACAUUAGAUAAAUGGCUUUCAAACAUAUAUAUGAAGAUAGCUAGCAUCUAGGAUAAUAACAGGGUUUCAAAACUUUUCAAAUAUCGAUAAAAAACUGUGUGCUUGGUCAUAGUUAAGAUCAACUCAGUUAAAAUUGCAUAUGUGAAUGUGUAAAAUUCAAUCUUUGUGCAUAUACCAUAGGGACCAUUAGCACUCAAUAUUCAAUGAUAUAACUCAAAACAUGCAUCUCUCACAAGAAGUAAUGUUUUCAGCCAUUAACGUAAAACCUGAAGAGGAUAGAACUAUUAUGUUUCGAGUCACUUUCGUUUAACCAAAAACUAAUUAGGUCUCAUAGCUAGAAUACCAGCAUGAUGAAGAUGCCAAGGUGCAUUUGAGCAGCAGAGCAGUGAACUCCAGAUGCAAUGAACACCCAAAGUGAUAAUUGUAGAAAUAUAAUCCAUGUUACUUGAAGCAUUUUUCUCCUUAUGUGCAUAAACUAAAUGUCUAUUUAAAAGAGCUCUUACUUUGCUUUAUUGAAGGAUAUAGAUUGUGUCUCAUGUAUAUCGAUCUUUUUUUUUCUUCAUCACAUUGCUUAAUGAGCAUGCACCUUUGUUGUAUAGUCCAAUGGACUAAUUACAUUUUAUUUUUAGUUACAUUCAUGAAAUAUGUAGGAACCUCUAUGCAAUACUCUGAACAAGAAACAUGACAAGAAGUAUGUUCCAAUUUUAUAUGCUAAUUUUAUUGUUCCUUAUGUGGGAUAGAUGGGGUUGGAAGAAUUGUUGGACUGCUAAUCGAUCAGAGGAAGGCCCCAUCAAAGUGGAUGUCUAACCUGUUACUAGAGCUCUUUAAUUUGAUGAUGUAAACUCAGGUUGUCUGAGAGGGAUUUCCCCUUAGUGUUUGUUUGUUUCGUAUCAAAAAAAAGAGUGAAUGUCUAACGCGGACCAAACAAAAGUGGAGGUGUCAUCAUGCAUCUGGGAAUCAUACACCUGCUAAAUUUAUGCUUCGAAUUUCCAGUAUUUUUCCGUGUCUCAACAAUUGUAAAGUUCAUUCGUAUCAAAAAAACAAUUUGUAAAGUUCAUUCUUCAUAGAGUUGUGAGCAGCAUAUUGUAUCAUGAGGAAUUGAUGGGCUCGGAUGCAUAAUGAUUUACGUUUGCAGGAGCCAGGAGAGUUUGGUAUGCCGUUGGAACUUGGAAACCAUGUAGGUAACCAGUUUUGUUGGACAAAGAGGAUGACAAACUCUUAUUUGAAAUGGAAAGCUUUGGUAAACUAUUCAAACCAUGAGAUAUCAAUGUAGCACAAGACUCAUUUAUAUAUCCGACUUUGCCGUGUGUAGUUUGUAUAUAGAUUAUAUCCUUGCUAUGAGGAAAAAAAAAUAUAUAUCCGGCGUAAUUGGGAUAGAAAACGAUCCCCGCGCGGGAAUACCAGCUAGUACAUGGACUAAUCCUUAUAUGAACAAUUUCUAUUCGGAAAUCUAUUACAUGUAAAGCUUCAGACAUGGCAUAAUUCUAGUAACCGAAGAAGUGGCGUCUUAUAUUUAUCUGAAGCUCGUCAGGCAAAUUUUCCAAAAUACGUUCUUCAUUUACAUCCGUGGCAGAAUAUUGUUCGGCAUUUCUCACUUGCCUUCUAAACUCUUCAGGCAAGUUUCUGUACCUCAUCCACGCCUCAACAUCACGCCUCCUCAUCAACAUAUCAGACCUCCUAAAAAACCAAAAGAAUGAGAAAGGCUGAGAUGUAUAUAGAUUCUUACUAUCAGUAACCUCUUUCUCUAACAAAAAAAACUCUAGAAGAAAGAAAGUGGUAAUAAAGUCACGAUCAAACAAUAAAAAUGUGGUCAGCAUAUAGAUUCUUACUUUCAGUAACCCCUUUCUCUCAAUUAAAAAAAAAACUCUAGAAGAAAGAGAAUGGUAAUAAAGUCAAGAUCAAACAAUAAGAGUUAAGAAACAGAUUGGACAAAAAAAAAUAAAAAUAAAAAUUAAGUACCUUUGUCCAAGAGACUGGAGAAAAUUUUGCAUGUUUCCGAUCAGAAGAGCAAGGAGGAAGAGUCCCAGUCCAAUAAUUACCAUCGUAAAGAUAAUUUCACCAUUGUUAUAGCUUGGAGUUAGAUUUCCUCCCAAAGUGCUGAUUUGCUUAAUAAAUCACAGGAGAUAAUAUGUCAGCAUAAAGGUGUAACUUAUUUAUGAAAUCAUAAUAAAAUAAAGGGAAGUUAUCAGCAAUUAGAAUGUAAGGUACCUGAAACCCCCAAAACAAUGAGUAUAGAUAUUUAGUAAUGAUAUGUCCCGUAGUGAUAUUGAUAAUUGGCGCAUAGAUUCCAUAUGAGAAGUCUCCAUUGGGACUAAAACAAAGAGCAGCCUUCUCAUUUAGUCUCCGUUUAGUAAUUAACUCAUCCAGGGAAAGAUAACGAGCAUGCCAACAAUCUAUUAAGUUCGGGCAUGACUGCAUAUUAGAAUUGUGGCAGGCGUCUUGAAGACAUUGGUUAACCCUCUGGAACAAGAAAAAAAAUACAAAUGUUCUCAGUGGCAUAGCCAGAAACUAUCACUAGAAGGGUCAAAAUUUAAACAAUAAUACUAUUGCCUGUUAAAAAAAAUUAAAAAAUUAAAAAACUAUUGAAUGACAUAAAAAUGUAUGAAUUAUUACAUCAAUAAUUAAAAAGGACAAAAAGUAGGUUUUCCUAAAGCAAUUAUAAUUGUUCACGACAAUUACUCAUAUUUUGAAAUAUUUUCAUGAUGGUUUCACCGUCAAAUAUAUCUUUCUCAAUAUAUGUAAUCAUGAACAUGUCUCCCAUUCGGUUUCGCAAAUCACUUAUAUAACCGUCAUGGCAAAAAAUGCUCUUUCUACAGUGACAAUUGCAACUGGAAGAAUCAGUGUCAAUGUUAUGAGCAAGUAAACUAACGGAUCAACCUGGUUUUUCUGUUUCAACAAUUUUUUCUCGAAGCUCACUAAUUUCUUUCAUUUUUUUCCAAAGUACAUUCAUUGGAUCUAUCUCUAUUCUGAAGUACAGCGACAAUUGCAACUGGAAGAAUCAGUGUCAAUGUUAUGAGCAAGUAAACUAACGGAUAAACUUGGUUUUUCUGUUUCAACCAUUUUUUCUCGAAGCUCACUAAUUUCGGUCAUUUUUUUCCGAAGUACCUUCAUUGGAUCUAUUUCUUAUUUGAAUAGCUUGAGAUGCUGUCAACUGAUCCGUUGCUUUCUUUACAAUAUUUUUGAGAAAAUUUUCAUAAUUUCAAAUNNNNNNNNNNNNNNNNNNNNUUCAUAAUUUCAAAUAUUAAUUCUAAAGGUUUUGACUUGUUGUUUGUAGGGAGAAAUGUUUAAAGAACAAAAAAAGGAAUUACAGUUGAGAAGAAUUUAAAGAGCAUGAUAAGAGACAAAUAAAUUGUAGAAGCUUGAAUUUAUAUAGACGCAAGGUAAAUCAUGAAUCGAUUAGGAAGACAAAAAUGAAUAAUAAAUCUGUCCAAAUAUGAGAUGAAAGCAAACUUCUUUCCGAAAACUAUUUUCUUACUCCUAUAUUGAUUAGUAAAAAACAUGGGGUUAGAACUUAAAAGCUUUUCUGUCGACAAGGGUGGAGUAGUCUUGUCCAAACCAAGACAAGAUUUGGAAGGAGAUUACAAAUAUUUAAGACAAGUCUUGUCCAUAAGGGUCAAAUCUUGUUUCAAAGUGUAAUAUAUAUAUAUGUUGCCCCAACCAAUAGAAAGUUAGCUUAAAAUGUUAGAGGGUUCAAUUGAACCCUCUCGCCCCAUUGUGCCUACGCCCCUGAAUGUUCUAUUAAUUUGUUUUGACUUUAUCAUAAUUAAUUGCAUCAUAAAUUUCUUGUGAUUAUUGACUUUGGUAUAUAUUUAUAUAUUAUACUCAUUAGGUUUUUUUUUUUUUGAUCAAAUGCUCAUUAGGUAUUUAGUAAAAAUUCUGAUAUUUCUUUAAAAUAAAAAUAAAAAUUCCAAUAAAUAUGAAACAAAUAAAAAGAUAUACAAUUUAAAGACGACGUAAACCUUGUUAGUUGACUCAUAUUUAAAUUAUGGCAAUUUGUGUAAUUCUUUUGAAAAAAAAAAAAAAGAAAUCUAAUAUUUGAUCCUAGUUGGCAAUAAUUGGGUGUAAUUUAAAACAAUUUUAUGAGUGAGUUUAAUAUAAAAUGUGAUUUGAAUAUUAAGUGUAAAAUGAAAUGCCUCAUCAAACAAAUACGGGGAAAUAUGCAUCAUUAGGUUAGAUAAAAUGAAAUCUCCACACACCUGUAAGCCAAAGAGGUACCACCAUGACCCAAUGACAUGGGCAACCAGCAAAAAACUGAGUGUGUUUACAAUGAAAUUCGUCCAAAUUGACCCGAAUACAAAGAAUCCAUUCAAUGAUCGACCAGCAAGAAGGGACAAAACCCUAUACACCCUAGGAAAGUAUUGAAGAAAUAUUGCCAGGUGUAGAAGAUUCUUGGUCUCAUUUGUUCGUAGAGAAAAUCUUCCGUGCAACAGCCGCACCAGCUGACAUGUGCGACCAGCCGACCAACAAGUGCCUUGAUUUUUUCCACGCCAGCAAACUACGAAAAAGGCUCCAAGUUUAAAGUUGAAAUUUCAUUAUCCCGCCGGAAGCCAGAGUUAUAUUUAAAUUAGGAUUUCUAGGUGGUUAUUCUAAUCCAGGGAAGAACAAACGCCUCACUUUUCAGAUUACGGUCUCCUCAUUCCUCCCACUCACUUUUCUCCCACCGAUACUGAUAAUUCAUCAUCUCAUUUCCUACCGUUUCCAAAUUCAUGAACACAGAUCUUUCUAGACCCGAUUCAUGAACAUAGAUCAUGCUCGACCCGAUUCACGAACAGAGAUCUUUCUCAACCCGUUUAGUUCAUUCUCAUCGGUCAGGUAUUAUCUUUCUAUGCUGAAAUUAUGUGGCACCUCUUAUCUUCAAUCUUUUAUUCUUUGUGAGUGUAUCGUGUGGAUGGGAUGGACUGGAGAGAUAGAUAAUAGUUGAAAAGAAGACCAUGGGGAUGAGUUGGUUUUAGUCUCCAAAUUGAGGUUUAGGAGGUGGGUCAUUUUCUUGGAAUUCCAAUUUUUUGAGGUUUGGGAGGUGGUUUUUUUUGGGUUUCAAUCUGGACAUCUUACAUGCUUUGCCAUGGAAAUAGUACAUGCUUUGUUGUAUAUAGGAAUGAAUGAUGUGAACCCACCUGGAUUACUAGUCUGAUAGUCUCCGUUUGCAUAGACUUUUCUUAAUUCAAUUUUAGAUGCACACAGUUCUUUUUCCUGGAGCUUGCUUUCAGGUACUUGGAUAUUUCACACUUUCUCUAUGUUGGUCUUUUCCCUUUCAUGUAUUUUUCAGUUUGUUAGUUAUAGGAAGUGAUCAAGCACAUUCUUUGUCAUGGCUAUUUGGGAGGUUAACAGUGUCUCACUGUCUCUAUUCUCUAAAUUAGUUAAAGAUGCUUUUUGUUCAGAGCUUUUUAUUGUGUCUUUAAUUAGACAAAGAUAGUUUCUUUAUAGCAGUAGUGAACAAGGGUUUAAAGUAGAUGAUUUUCUUUUGAGUUUAUUGUUUUGUGCGUGUGUUGCAGUGUUAGAUAUUAGUAGAUAAGCUAAAGGUGAUGACGGAUCAGCCAAAAGCCAAGAGGUACAAAAAUCUCUGCUCACGGUUUACAACUAAUAAUACUCCAUCAAGUGAUAGUGACGAUGAGAUUGAGAUAGGGAGUGGGAGUAGAAAUGUGACUGUGGAUUGGCAUUGUUGACAGUUUUGGUACUCUAUGUGCGUGCAUACAAGGAAUGAAAGCAUUUCGAAGAGAUUGCCGAAGCUACAGAAUUCAAGAGAAUCACUUUAUAUUGUAUCAAUCUAUUAGCUCCGAUCGAUUAGUACUUUAUUAUGAUACAUUGUGGUGUAAUUUUGACACAAGUAAUUUUUCAUUGUGUUAAAUUUAGUUGUUACAAUUAUAAUCAAUCAAAACCUUCAUUUGACAUCUCUUUUUCAUUGUCUUCCAUUUUGUUUCAGUAGAAUGUACCUUGAGUAACAUUAUCAUAUCUUGAUCAGAGGCUUGGUUUCAUCUCUGGAUUUUGUUGCAUUAUUACCUUUUGGUUUGUGUCAAAGAUUAAAGAUAUGGUUAAAAAUUGAGAAAGAAAAAAGCUGAUGGAAAGAUACUUGAAUUUGUGAUGCUUAAACUACUAAGAUAUACUCAAUGAUCGAAUGUAAUCAUCAUAAAAAAAUAUUGUAGCACAGGUUACAUACAAAAGUUCGAUCAAAACAAGCUCUAAACAUGUCUUCGAUUCAGUUCUUAUAAAAUGCUCAUGUUAGUACUACAUCAUGAAACUUGCACACAUGACUUCAGUUCUCAUAAAAUGGUCCUCUUAAUACUGCAUCAAUGAAACCUGCACAAUUUAACUUCUGUAACUAUACUGUAAUUCAGGUUCAAUAUCAUCAACUCAAGCAUAUAAUAUUAAAAUACAGAACUAACCUCACUGAGGUUGUUGUCUAAGUGUAGGAUCAAUAGUCAAAGUCGCAGUUGGUGCAAGAUUCAACCCUGUAGUAUUCUACAAAUAUAGAACUAGUUUAUUUUCAAUAUAGCCAACUAAAAUGUAUGAAUGUACUAAGAUUUCAAAUAUACAUAUACCUGGUUUGAGAAAGGCAUCUGACCAUAACUAACAUGUGAAUGAGGAUGCUCAAAAGGCCAACUUAAAUUUCCCUGAAAGAGAAUGACAUGUAUGAAUAUGUUCAGUCUGUAAUACAUAAAGAAACAUACAUAUAAAGCUUCAAAAUGCAGACCUGAUUACUGAAUGUUGGGGUGUUGGGUACUCCAAACUGAUUACUCACUGUUGGGAUGUUAGGUACUCCAUACUGAUUACAGAAUGUUGGGAUGUUAGGUACUACAAACCGAUGAUUAUUGAAUGUAGACACAUCAGUUGGAGCUUUUGGAUCAUUAUUUUCUUGGUUUUCUUGUUCUGCAUCAGUAAAAAUUUCAGCUAUACAAAGUACACAAAACAAGAACUAUCAAUAUAAGCUUAUUUAAGAACUAUAUAAAAUAUGUAUGUACCUUUUGUUCUCUUCUUCCUUUGAUUUGUCUCCAUCACAUCUUUGAUUCUACUAUUUUUCAUUCCCUUAGUCUUUGCAUUUGGUGGGUUCAAAACUAGUGUCUCAUUACUAGAAAUGGUAGAGCCAGACUCAGCACCAAAAUUCUUCAGAUUUUCCAACACGUAAAGGGUGUCCUUGUCUUUUUCAAGACGCUUCAUUGCCUCUGUUAACAAAUGCUUGACAAUUUUAGUACCUAAACUAGUUAAUGAGGCUAUGUCAUACACAUUAUUUCCUUCAUGCAUCAAUUCGCUGAGGCGCAACACUCUAGCAGUCUUUAAAUUCUCACUUGUUCCUACACUUGUGUCACUGCUGACCACUACCGUACCCCUUUCUUUGCCUCUUUAGUCCACCUCUUCAAUAUAUACUGAGUUGGUAAAGUUGUGAUAUUAUUUGUAUCAAACACCUUCAAAGCAUGACGACACAAGAUCCCAACAGACUUAAAUGACUUACAAGAACAAGAUAUGCUCAAGGAUGUAGAGUUGUAUUCAAUCUUGUGCACACUUUCACGACCAUCUUCAAUUGCUUCAUAUACAUAAACUUGAUCUUUACUGGAAACUUCUUUUAGUCUAACUCCCAUACAACUAUAGAAUUCUGUUUCAAAAAACUGAAAAAUUUUGUUAGUAUAAACCUUGGCAGCACUGCUUAACAUCUUAGUCCAUACUUUUGGACGACGUGCACCAUUUUUGCUACGGUAGUCAUCUUCUAACUCUGUUAAACGCAACUCUUCAAUCUUUUUCUUAUAGUGAUGAACAAAUUUAAUAAGCUCCAUUGUGUGUGUAGAAAUUCCUUGGAACACAUUGUUUGUACUUUCACUCCUUUGAGUAGAUCUAAUCCUUGCCGAAAAAGUGUCCAAAUUAAAUGCUGCACACCACUUCUGUCGGAGUGAAUACAACUUUGCUAGCCAAGGAUUAUUUCCGAGAUUAUAUCUACCAAUCAAGUUAUCCCAUAAAACCUGAAAUUCAAUUUCAGAACAGCACCCAUGUAAACAAUGGUUGAAUUGCUUCUUGAACUCUGGAUUUCCAAGAUAACUACCAAUUUUCUUUCGGCAUUCUUGCCAAUAUGCCAAGUGCACAAUCAAUGGGAUGCACCUGGAAACACUAUUUUAACUGCCUUUGCCAUUGCUUUAUCUUCAUUUGUGAAAAUAGUUUUUGGUGCUUUAUUUCCCAUCGACUCCAAAAAGGAUUCGAACAACCAAACAAAAGACUCUGUAGUCUCAUCUAAUAGAAAUGCACAUCCAAACACAACAUUUCUCCAAUGAUGAUUAACUCCAACUAUUGGAGCACAAAUCAGAUCAUACUUGUUUGUACGAAAUGUUGUAUCAAAGCAUAUAACAUCACCAAAACAAUCAUAAUCUGACUUUGCUCUACCAUCCCUCCAAAAGAAGUUUAUCAUUCAGCUAUAUUGGUCCAAUUGCAUUGAAUAGAAAAAGUUAGGGUCCUCACCUUGUUUGUGCUUAAAGUGAUUCAGCAAGCUUUGUGCAUCACCUGCUUCCACCAUUUCAUUCUUUUUUCUUUGCAAGUAGUUGUAGACGUCUUUCUUAGUGCACCCAACAUUUUCUGAACCACCCACUUCAUUUGCUAUGUAAAAAAAUGCUUUUGUUGCUCCUAUUCUUGCAACUUUCAUGGAAGUAAAAACUUGUCCACAAGCAUCUGUUACUUUUCGCCCAGAUCUCAAAAAUUGCCUUUCUUCAGGGUUUGCAAGCUCAUGGUUAUGAUCUGAAUUGAUAUGUGAUAUUGUCCAUAUCCCAUCUUUCACAAUAAACGAUAUCAUAGCCUUGCAACCGACUCUUGUUUCCAACUUCCUAUGUUUGGUUGGUUCAAACACAUCUUGGUCUUGUGCAAACCCUUCCUUUGAACAUACAAACUCUCGUAACCGGAUGUUAUUUGAUGCAUCUCUUCUAAUAUGUGACUUACGAACACUGAAACCCUUCCUCAAAGCAUAGGUAUUAUAUAAAUUGUAAGCCUCCUCAUCUGAGUGUACUUGAGUUCCCACUUUGAGUUCUUCAUCGUCUUCAAUUAUUUCCUCCAUUCUUUCACAAGCCAAUUUAACUCUGUAAAACACAAAAAAGUUUAAGCAAAUUUUUGGUCAAUUGCAUAGGACUUUCAAGUAUCAAUGAUCAUUAGUUAAUGAGAAAAUCUAUUAGAUUAGAAAAACCAAUCGUACAAACACCAAAUCACACAGUGAUUGAAUAAUCAAAAUCUAAAGGAUCAGUUUAAGUAUCAGUUUAUAUACAACCACUUUUAAGUAUUGGUUUAUAUACAACGUCUUCAUUACUCAUCAAUUCUUUGUGUCAAGUUCACACAGAGGAUCAUGACAAAUCCAAAACAAUCGAACCCAAAUACUCAUAAGAAAAGCAAAGAAAUACUAACCUGAAUCAAAUUGCUUAUCGAGAUGAUCUUGUAUUGAUUAAAUUGAGCAAUCAUGAGAACGAGCUAACAGGUCGAGAAAGACUGGUUUUGGUGAAUCUGAAAAUUGAUUAUCAGUAAUGAGGAGACCCUAAUCUGAAAAUUGAGUGAGAGGAACAAGAAGUCGUCCACUGUUUGUUCUUCCCCAGAUUAGAAAAACACCUAGAAAUCCUAAUUUAGCUAAAACUCGGCGGGAUAAUGAAAUUUCAACUUUAAACUUGGAGCCUUUUUCGUAGUUUGCUGGCGUGGAAAAAAAUCAAGACGUAGCACUUGUUGGUUGGCUGGUCGCACAUGCCAGCUGGUGCGGCUGUUGCACGGAAGAUUUUCUCUUGUUUGUAACGAUCGCCGAACAAUCGACAACACUAUUAUCUGAACAAGAAUUUAAACCAAAAACAAGAAUAAAUCAAAUCUAAAAACCCGUCAUAUGGGGUAUCUGUAGAAAAAAAAAAAAUUAAUGACAUACUUGUAAUAAAAACAGUUAUGACUUGUAAUCUUAGUCUAUAAAGUUGGACGCACCGACUUGUAAUUGACAUUUGUAGAAUGAUCAUAUUUAAACAAUUACACAUAAGCAUAUCAAACCAAUUCAAAGUGGACAUGAGAGAAAGAGCUUACCUGAGGAACCGGUAAUACAAUUAUUAGGUCGAUUAAAAAGUUUCCAUGGAGAUAAUUUAGAGCGAUUUUUUUUGGUUGGUCUACUAUUUCUCCUGGACCAACCAUUCUAGACCUAGGAACUUCAUAAGCCAGCCUAAACUGCCAUGCAUAAGCAAUAAAAAUUUAGAAAGGCUCAAACAGACAAGAAAAAGAAAAAAACAACAAUUUAUUUAAGAUACCAAUUGAAUAAUACAGAUUUAGAAUGACAUUUUUAAACAGAAUAUGUCAUGCACUUACUUGGAUAAGCAUGUGUAACAGAUAUAUAGUCUGUCACAGUCCGUAAAAACACCAGUAGUAUGGUUUUAUGCCAGUCCAUAAAUAUGCACUUCUGAUCCUGCAUUUUAAGAAUACAGAUACCCCUCUAUUAAAAAAAGAAUAGAACGGGAAACAAAUUUACAUACUAAAGCAAUUUUCGAACGGCUGUUAUUUUUUCUUUUUCUUUUUAAUAAGAAGAAGAAAUUUCUGCUUCAAGAAUAAUGCAGUCUCAAAAUUUAAUGCAAACAUAUUUUAAAGUGAUGACAUCAAGUGAGAGAAAAACAAAGAUAUAGAAAGAGAGAAAGAAAAAAUAGAUUGUUCCGCGCUCGCAGAGGCCGCCGGAAUGGUAGCUUCUAGCAGAGGCAACCGGAAUCAAUAGGAGGAUCGGAUACCGUUGUGGGUUUUCGGGUCAAGGAACAAGGCCGAUUAGUUUGAGUUUUUCUACACCUUGUGAUAUCUCGAUAUUUCUAUUUCAAAUAAGGAAGAUUGAGAGAGAAAAUCGAGGGUUCAAGGAGGAGAGCAGAGAGCAUAUUGGGGAAGAAGAAGAUGAGAUGAUGAGGAAGAUGGAGAUCACGCGCCGUGAAAAGAAACGUUUGUGAUCCCUCACUGGGUCAACUGAAGAACCUUCGGCCGAAUAGCUGUUUCUUCUUCAACACCCUAUUUCAAUCGAAUUUGGUCGGCGCCUUUGCAGAUUUACACUCUAACACAGUGGAUUUGAGUUUUUUUGGCACCAAAUUUUGUUAGCGCGUAUAGUACAUGCGCCGUUUAGGAAAGAAGAAGACGCAUCAGAAGAUACCGAUGCCGAAGCCUCACCCUGUGAAUGGAAGAAUCUCCGACGUGCAAGAGAGAGAAAACAAGAUAAAGAUAAAAUACCAUUUCUCUCUCUCUCGUCCCCACUCCCCCAAGUGUCCAAACCCCAACUCCCCAAGUGUCCAAAUUAAUCCCUAACUCCCCAAGUACCAACCAUAGCCAGGCCGGACCUGAGAUUUCAAGGUCUGAGAUGAGUUUUAAGAAUGGUGUCCUCUAAUGACCGGAAAGCUUCACCUUGAGCAGAGGAGUUUGAGGAGACCAGUAAUGAGGAAUAAAACUGGCAUAAUGGUUUAGAAGUUUGGGAGCAAAACCCAGUUUUUAGAGACGGAGGGGCCCACUAACUUAACAGUGAGGAGAGGAAAAAAGAAGAAGUUAAAAGAUAAACAAGUGGUUAACCCUUCUCUCCUCUUCUAAACCACAAAAAUCCAGUUUUUAUUAUCAUCGACAACCAUCACUGCUCAUCAUCAUCCCCGUUUCAAACUUCUCUCUCUCCCUUCUCUUCUCUUCUAAACCCAACCAUUUCCUCUGUUUUUCAUUUCAAAAAACCAAAACCCAAACAAUUAUAGCUUUAAGCUUUAGUUUCCAUGGCUAGCAGACUUUUCUAAUCCCUCCUGCUCAAGGCAGCUACCGGAUUUUGGUGCCCCCAGAUUUUUGGGGCCUGAGGCAGCCGCCUCGUCGGCCUCACCUCAGGUUCGGGCCCAAGGAAGAAAAUUUCGGUGAUUACGGAAAUUUUGACCCUCCAAAAUAUGGAAAUUUCGACGGAAAUUUCGGGGAAAUAUCGAUUGCAGUAAAAAAAUUGAGAAAAUUGACGGAAAUUUGAAGAAAAACAAGGAAAUUUUAAACCAAACUUUAAGAGAUGUUUGUUUUCUAUAUUAUGUACUAUAUUUGAAAUGAAAACCUUGAAUAAACAUCGAUCUAUAAGGAGUUGUAGUAAGUUAAGGUGAAAAAGUUAGUGCUGAACCGUUAAUAAUUCUUAGAAGUUUACUUUAAACAUUUUUUUUUUAUGGCUGGAAACCCAAAGGAGGCUAGGUCAUCACGCUUUAUAUACAUAUGAUAUAUUUCACAUGGAAUUACAUGAGUACUUUAAAACCACGUAGAAGACCUAUGAUGUACAAAAUUUUCAUUAUCUUUAUCGUCUCUCUGUGUAGAGCCUUCAGUAUAUUGUGAAGAAUAGUCAUUAAAUAAUACCUCACCUUUAUAGAUAUAUUAAAAAUGAAUUAAGAAGUGUAGGUAAAAAAUCUUUUUUAUGGAAGUGUAGGUAAAAAAAUUAGUUGGAGAUUAGACAUUUACCUAAUUUUUUACUUUUCAAAUUAAAAAAACCAAUAUAUAUUAUAAAGAUACUAUAAUAAACAAGUUAAAUGGUUAGUAGGGUUGGUUAAGUUGUUAAUCUUGUACCAACCCGACCCAGGCUCGACUCACCUUCGCAGCAAAAUUCAAAGUCAAACAUUUCGGCAGGAAAGUAAGUUUUGCAGUGUUCAAAGUCAGGGGAAACAAUCAUUCAAAUUUGGGCGGGAAAGUGGGAAACCAUUUCAGCUUCGACUUUUCGGUGGGAUUUCAAAGUUUCGGCGAUAUUUUCGAAAUAUCGCGAUAUAUCGGAAAAUAUCGAUUAUUUCGGACGAAAAAUUCUGAGAAUGAAAAUAUAUAUCACCGUGUGAUAAAAACGAAAUUUUCGGCGAUAUUUCGACGAAAAUUUCGAUUUUUUCUUCCUUGUUCGGGCCUGACCAUAGCACAAUCGUUGUCUGCUAUUGUUGGGUCGCCGAUAUAGUUUUCUUAUUGGAAACUAUGCACUUUAUGUUAAUGCCUAGAGAACCCUAUUCCUCCAAAAAAGAAGAAGCCGGUGUCUAACAAGAAGCUGAAGAAAGAGAGGCUGAAGCAAGGCGUCUCUGCUCCAGCAGGCGAGUAAAUAUGGAAGAAAGACCGCAACUCUGCAUGCAUGUUGAGCUCACAUAUGUUGAGAGUUUGUUCUUUCAUUUCCCUUAAUACUAGAUGGAAUUGGACUUAGUAAUUGGAACCCUGUAUUGAUCUAGCAACCAGGGAGUGAGAAUGUUGUUCCUAAGACAGUUUUUAUCUUCAAAUUUUCUUUCUUAAACAAGUAAUAAUCAGACCUCAGAACUUAGAAUGAGUUACUUUGCCAAAUAAAAUAAAAAAUAAAAAAACAUAACAGAAAGAAAGGGAAGAAAAAGAAAAAGAAUAAAAAGAAAUAUUCUGAACCAUCAAUACUUUGUCUCUGUUCCUCAUGUGCUAGAAUAAACGAAAACAUCUAACUGUUUGUGAAAGAAAAAGAAAAAAAAACAUGUAAACUAAGACUAAUGCAAAAAGAAGGAAAAUAUACCUCAUGUGAAUAUAGCAGAAAGAAAUGUAGUGGAUCUACAAAAACCGCGACCAUGCAAGAUACUACAAAAAACUUGUUUUAUCUUCAAACAACUUUGUUAUCAGGUUCACAAUCCCGAUAACAUAGGGAUGCAAAAAAAAACAUGUUCCUUUAAACAAACUCAACAAAUUCUUUUUGUAUGACAUAUUUGUCUAUCGCUAAAUAUGAAAUGAGUGAAAUGUCGAUGAGGAUGAUUGUGAAGUUGUUUGGAUUUAAAUGUAUAAUGAGGUACGGAUCGGAGAGAUGGGAGAAUGGGAAGUUCGAUAUAUGUAUUAGAUGAGUGAACUCAAUGAGGAUGAAGUUGUGAGAUUUAUGAUAUGGGAAGAUCGAUGCCUUAUAUAAAGAAGAGGACUAGAGGAGUGAUGUUGAUAUCACUGGAAUCAAUAUGUUUGGCCAUGUUUUUAAGAAAUGAUUGUUUUUAGUUAGGGACAGAAAAUUUUCAUGCCUAGUUGUGCAUGUAUUACCUAGAGACACAUUAUAUAUAUGAUGGUGUGCACGGUAAAAAGGCAUAUGAUAACGACUUCAAGGAAAGCAUUCAAAUUUUCUCAAAACUAAAGUAACACUUUAUUCUCCCAUAUUUCUAUCUUCAACUCUCUUUAAUCUUUCAUUCAAUUGGAAGAUUAACAUAAGAGAUGAACCAGUCUUGGUGGACCCAUAAUCACAUCCAAGCUUCACCGAAAUCAAAUCCUCUGUCUUCCUAAGCGAGGAUGGAUCAAGAACAUUAUAUGUAAGGGAUAAUUCAAAUUCAGCACUUUCUGGAAAGCAAUCUGAGAAAUCCCCAUGGGGCUUUUGUUGGGCUUUAUCCUAUUGUCUUUCUUCAAUCUUCAUCUAUUGUUCGUCUUUGUCUUAUACCCAUCUUCUUCCGUUCUCUGAUUCUGUGCAACUUUGAUCUUUAUCUUUGUCUUAAUCUCAUCCUGUAAUAAGUUUUUGACCCACUUUCCCUUUCGAUUUCUUUUUCUCUAUAAAUAUCUCUCUUGAGUCUCAUACACCCAAUCCCAAUUACAGUCAUUCAAUCUCGUCCUUCAUCGGCUCAUGUACAAACAAUGUUUUUUUUAGGAGCCACUCUACCCAGAACCAUCGGUGGUAUACUUUGGAAAAUAAAGUAUGUAAAUCAAUCUGCCACUUGCCCAUUGCAUCACCAAUAAUCGACACACCCAUUGAAAUCGAUUGAACCAGAUUGAAAUACUGAGAUGCAAGAGUGAAUUGAUUUUUCAGAGAAAAGAAAAUAUCAGAUCUAGAAGAAGAAGAAGAUUCGAAUGAAGUUAACAGAGCAAUUGACGUUAGUUCCUGCCAUUUGCUUGCUUGGAAAAAAAAUACAAACGUGUCAACACGAGUGGAUGGUCGUAUGAAUGACGUGGUGCGAGUGCCGCACCUAAGAGUAAGUCCACCCCAAACUCCAAAACUGUGACCCAGACCUUUAGCCAUCUCAAAUAAAGACUCAGACAAAAAAAAACCAAAUCCACCUAUAGAAAAAAAUGAUAACCCAAUCUUUAUUAGAUCAAGACCUGAGUUAGACUCAUAACCAGGCAGAAAAAUGAAGGCCCGGGCCUUCCCUCUCCAGCUCAGCCCACUUGCAUGGGUUUGCAUGACGUCAGCCAUGUUAGAAGACUUGGAGAGAUGAAAGAAGACGCGUCUUGAUGUGGGUGAAGAACACAGACCAAUUGUUGAUGAAAGAGGACGCGCGGGGAACUCAUUUUGUCGCCAUGCGGGGUUAGUGGAUGGGCCACAUGCACGUUCCAAACCUUCACACACCCAUUUAUGUGAAUCUGAUGGUAUAUAUUUAACAACCAAAUAUUUUUAUUACAGAAAUAAAUAGGAAUUAUAAGUUAUAGUUUUAUUUUUUUGGAAUUUUAAUUUCUUCAACAUCCCACAAAAAAAAAAUUGUGCAUUUUAGAUCCAAUUUUUCAUAUCCCUAGCAUUGCUAUUUAUUUAUAAAAUUUUCAUAAAUUUGUCAUAUUAAAUAAUUCCGUGGAAUAAAUAUUUUUAAUAAAUAUUAAACAGUCACUGUCACGUGGUGACCCAAAAACUAAAAUCAUGGGUGGAAACUACAGCUCAAAAUCACUGCCACGUGGCGACCUAGGUCUCGCCUAAGACCCAGACCUUCCCAACGAAGACCUAGAAGGUGGACUUGUUCUAAGAUGACACGGUGUGAGUGCCCCACGCAAGAAUUGCUCCCUGGACCGUGACCACGUGUUUUGGAUAGGGUAAUGCACUACAAAAAAUAUGCGUAAAAGCGACAGUUUUUUCCCCACAUUUUCAGUUUUCGUGGGAGUAUAGUACUGAAUAGUGUCAACGUUUGAAAUCUUUCGAACUCUCCCACGCAAGUCGCAACUUCGAAUUCGUGGAGUAUAAAACAAUAAAAAAUUGUUCUGUAUGGGUAUUUAAUUCUGACACUCUAUUUUUUUUUCCAGUUUAUAAUUCUAAAUUCAGUAAACACCACGCUUUUAACAAUUAGUGGGAAGUAAAUAAUAAAAUAUUAUGAUAGUGUGGAAUUAUGAUGUUGAAACGAUGUAAUUAUCAUGACAUUUUAGUUUCUUACCCGUUUUUAGUAAUUAAUUCAUUUGAAUGUCCCACAAAUAUGCACAAAACGUGAGAACUUAUCUGUACAAGUACAACUGUUGNNNNNNNNNNNNNNNNNNNNNNNNNNNNNNNNNNNNNNNNNNNNNNNNNNNNNNNNNNNNNNNNNNNNNNNNNNNNNNNNNNNNNNNNNNNNNNNNNNNNNNNNNNNNNNNNNNNNNNNNNNNNNNNNNNNNNNNNNNNNNNNNNNNNNNNNNNNNNNNNNNNNNNNNNNNNNNNNNNNNNNNNNNNNNNNNNNNNNNNNNNNNNNNNNNNNNNNNNNNNNNNNNNNNNNNNNNNNNNNNNNNNNNNNNNNNNNNNNNNNNNNNNNNNNNNNNNNNNNNNNNNNNNNNNNNNNNNNNNNNNAUCUAUAAACAAGAUAAACAAGAAAUGGAGUAAAAAUUUCAACAAAGAUUAAUUCCUGGUACACUUUCAUCUUUCUUAACAUCUUAUGGCAUUGAUAUUGACUGGAAUAGCUCACAAAUAAUUUGCAGAUUGCAACUCUAGUUAAAUCCAAUUUGUCAAUACUGCACUUUAAUGCAUCAGGACUCGAGCCUAGUUGUUAUAUAUACUUCUAUAGUAAAGCUAGUAUUAGUAUAUGUGAACAAAGUUCAAAUCUGUGCGUAAGAAUGAUCCUUUCUAAGUUUCUCAUCUGUAUUAUUUGAAUGUCUGCAGUUUGCGAUACCAUUUCCACCCUGUGACAGGUGGAUGCUGAAGUUUUUAGUAAUCCAGCAAUGAUUUUGAAGAUGAAAUUGACCAAUCUUCCAUGGAGACUAUAAAUCAUUCAGAAAGGGUCCCUAAAAUGUAAAAUUGUUUAGAAUUACAUAUGAAAGCUUGUAGUGCCUUUGAUUCCAUGACUGAAAUUUACAGGGUUAGCAUUUCUGGCUUACUAAAGCUUGUACUGGCUCCCACCAUAUAUGCCAAGAUGCUUAGAAGAUUUCUGCCAAUCUCUUUAUUUUGGCGUAUGUAAGGAUCAAAAACUGACAUGAUUGCAACCUAAGAGCUAUAAAAUUUGAUCAAAAUUUUCUCCAAUUCAGUCAUAUAUCAUGCUAGUCAAGUUCAUCAUGUUGUUUGGAAACAAUGUGACUUAUCAUGCGAAUUUCACGUCACUUAUCACACAGAAACGCUCUUACCAACCUCUCCGUAACCGAGUUUGGUUGAUUCUUUCAUACGUUAAACUCUCACACAGAUGAGACGUUACACAUAAAAAUUUGAAAACGUUUGAUUCCUGUUGAUACGGCUCCCCAUAAGGAAGAUUAAGGGUAAAAAAGGUUGACCGUUUUUAUCGGUACCCAAAAGUUACUCGAAAUAUGUGAUUUUUCAACCAUAGCCGUAUUUCACUAUUCCGAUCACAUCUUAUUUACGAGAUUUUUGCUUCCUUUGUACAGUUGGUUUACAAAAUUGUACACUUGCAUAUAACCUACUAAACAAGUUAUAUCACAUUAGUAGACACGUUGUGAUUUCGAUGACUAAAAUUCUCAAAAUGAAAAUUCCACAGUCUGAUAUGAUCAUUAUAGUAAACCAUGUCUAUGGUAUAAAAUUCAACUCUAUUCGGUAGCGUUCGGGGCUCGAUCGAAGCGGUCAACCAUAAUAUAUCGUCACUUAUCACACGGAAACGCUCUUACCUACCUCUCCACGACCUAAUUUGGUCAAUUCUUCCACACGUUAAACUCUCACAUAGAUGAAACGUAACCACACAUAAAAAUUUGGAGACGUUUAACUCUCGUUGAUAGGGCUCCCUAUAGGGAAGAUUAAGCGUAAAAAAGGUUAACUGCUUUUAUCGGCACCCAAACGUUAACCGAAAUAUGUGAUUUUUCAACCAUAGUAGCUAAACACUAUUUUGAUCACAUCUUAUUUCACGAGAAUUUUGAAAAUUUUACUUCCUUUAUGUAGUUGGUUUAAAAAGUUGUACACUUGCAUAUAACCUAUUAAAUAAGUUAUACUAUAUUAGUAGACACGUUGUGAUUCCGAUAACUUAAAAUCACAAAAUGAAAAUUCCACCGUCUGAUAUGAUCAUUAUAGUAAAUCAUGUCUAUGAUAUAAAAUUCAACUUGAUUCGGCAACGUUCGUGGCUCGAUCGAAGCGGUCAACCCUAAUAUAUCGUCACUUAUCACACGGAAACGCUCUUACCUACCUCUUUGUGACCUAGUUUGGUUGAUUCUUUCACACAUUAAACUCUCACAUAGAUGAGACGUAACCACAUAUGUAAAAAUUUGGAGACGUUUACCUCCCGAAAAUAGGGCUCCUUAUAGGGAAGAUUAAACGUAAAAAAUGUUACUGUUUUUAUCGGCACCCAAACGUUACCCGAAAUACGUGAUUUUUCAACCAUAGCUAUAUUUCACUAUUUUGAUCACAUCUUAUUUCACGAGAUUUUUGAAAAUUUUGCUUCUUUUGUGUAGUUGGUUUACAAAGUUGUACACUUGUAUAUAACCUAUUAAAUAAGUUAUACUAUAUUAGUAGACACGUUGUAAUUCCAAUGACUAAAAAUCAUAAAAUGAAAAUUCCACCGUCUGAUAUGAUCAUUAUAGUAAAACAUGUUUAUGAUAUAAAAUUCAACUUGAUUCAGCAACGUUCGGGGCUCGAUCGAAGCAGUCAACCCUAUUAUAUCGUCACUUAUCACACGAAAACACUCUUACCUACCUCUUUGUGACCUAGUUUGGUCGAUUACUCCACACGUUAAACUCUCACAUAGAUGAGACGUAACCACACAUAAAAAUUUGGAGACGUUUACCUCCCGAAGAUAGGGCUCCCAUAGGGAAGCAUAAACGUAAAAAGAGUUGACCGCUUAUAUUGGACUCGGACUUUACCCGAAAUACGUGAUUUUUCAACCAUUGCCGUAUUUGACCAUUCCGAUCACAUCCUAUUUCACGUGAUUUUUGAAAAUUUUGCUUGCACUGUAGAGUUGGUUUAUAAAGUUGUACACUUGUAUAUAACCUACCAAACAAGUUAUACCACAUUAGUAGGCACGUUGUAAUUCCGAUGACUAAAAAUUACAAAAUGAAAAUUCCACCGUCUGAUAUGAUCAUUAUAGUAAAACAUGUCUAUGAUAUAAAAUUCAACUCGAUUCGCAAUGUUCAGGGCUCGAUCGAAGCGGUCAAUAUCUUAUGACACUACUAGCAGCCUGAUCUUUAUUAGCAUUUUUCAUGGCCACGUUUUUCAUGGCCGAGCUCAUCUCACCCCUGUACUGUUCGUAAAGUUUCCUCCAGUUGUUCAAGCAGUGUUUGGGGACUUGAUUAAUGUCAAAAAUAGGAAGUUUCUUGAUUUCUGAACAAGGAUACAGAGGAAAAUCAGUAUGUUAAAAGUUGAAAUAAAUCAUUUUUUAUCUAAAGUUAUAAUUUGAUGGAAAUUUCAUAACUUUGAAAUACUAAAAGGAUUUGACAUGGGAACAUCACAGAAAGCUAUCAUAACCUUUGACAGAAAUUGGUUCAUGAUCAACAUUAAACAUUAUCUACCAUCAAAUUUUAAAAGAUUUUGGUUGAUUUAUAACAAUCCAUAGAUUCUGCUAAUUCUAUGGAUUGUUUUAAUUCCAUAUGGAGUUUAACAAAUUUUAAUAGAUUGAUUUAUUAGUAUUCUUUUAGACUUUUAUAAGUCCACAGAUUGUUGUAACGGCAAUAAAUAAAAAAAAGUUUCUUAAAACACAAACAAUACAGUAAAAACGAUGAUGACUUGAAACAUAAUGCUCUGAUACAAUAGUAUAUAGGUUACUAGUAUCACAUCAUACAGAGAACUGUAUCAAAUCCAAUCUCUCUGUUUGUGAUCAACUCCCCUAUAAUUGAAUAUUCAAGGAACAAUUUUCCCAACAUAAGCACUCAGAAAAAUAGAUUUUCAUCACCAUCUAAAAGCUAUCUAGCAUUAUUAACCAGAUGCAGACCCAUAAUUCUUCCCACACACAAUUAGCUGCAACUCGUCACAACCAGAAAUUAAAGAAUACCAACACCAGCAAUGGCAUGGAGGACGUUUGCAUCAACACCCUUGAACAAGGACUUAGCACCCACAUUCUUCAAGAUCUGAGUGAAGGCUUCAAAACUCUUGUACUCGACAGCUUCACCAGAGGUCAUUAUCUACGAACAGUGUCAAUUGGGUAGGAAGAUAGACCAGCACCAUUUCUGAUGACCUAGGAGAAGUACUACAAGUCAAAAACAAAAGGAUGAUUAUCAAAAACAAAAUGAUGUCAGCUGGAAUACCUACAAGCCAUAAGAAUCUAGUCGUGGACAAAUAAAGUAAAUAUAAAUACAGCUUCCGCCAACACACUGAAGUUGCAUAUCCUUGGAAUCAAACCACCAAUAUAGGAUAAAUAGAAUUUGCAAGCACAUAAAAGUACAAAGAAUACCAAUCAAAUUACUACAGGCCUUAUGAUAUAAGUGUCACUACAACGCUUAAUAAGAGUUCAAAAAUGAAUGAUCCACUGAUCCAUGAGUGACCACACUAACACUUGAGUAAUACAGGACCUCAAUACUUUCCUACUAAAAUAACCAUUUUAAACAGUAGUAUAAGGGUAUUCAGAAUUUCAGAUAUGAUACAUGAGUAGCAUAUAUUAAGAUCGCAAAUUGAAGAAAACAUAUAUAUCUCUCGUAGUUAGAAGAGAUGGGACAACAGUUGGAUAAUGACAUAACUAAUCUUUGGUUUUCAAAGUUUAUCUGCCCAUCCAUUCAAAACAAACGAAUCAUUAUUAGCCGCUAAACAAAUCACAGAGUCAUUCCUUUUACCCUCAAAGUUAUCAAUGUUGUUCUUGUAACUAGGCACGUGUUGCUACAAACAAUUCCCCUUAUACACACCCUGACCUACAGACAUAUAUACCAAUAUCCAACACUCAAACAAUUCCCCUUAUACACCCUGACCUACAGGUUUGUCUUUCUCAAGUUCAGACUAUCUUAGCAUACUGGAAAUCAUAUGCCAUCAUUCUGAGAGAAAUUUGUACAGCCUCCUCAAUCUCAAGCUAACUAGCUCUUAUAAUCAAUGCACUCAGUUAUGCGCCCUACGUACUUCUCUCUCUUUUUCCUCUACAAAACUUGAUGCUUUGGCCGUCAACCAUGAAACUGUUUCCAGGAAAGAUAAUGUACUGCAAUCAUCUACUUGUUCGUGCAAACCAUUGAGUUCAGACUUCAGAUACACCAUGUGUAAUGUGGAUUUUUGUGAUAGAGAUAUUUCCCUAAAUUAUUUAUUCUAUUAGUCAAAACCUUGUUAAAAACAUAAACUAGCAGCUUUUAAUGUCUUCCUGUAGACAUCAACCUUAGGUUUCAAAUUCUAGCUUGAUUCGAUUAGUUACACAAUCAACCUAAGCAAGUGUUCGACAUAAUGAUUCUGAAACAAAUGCGACGUACAAUACCAGCACGAACCCCAACAAGAAAUAUGAGAUUAAGAUUCAAAUACGAACAGAAAAGAGAAACAAAGAGCAUGAUUGAUACCUUUCGAGUGAAAUAUGGAUCAUUGGCGAGAACGAUGGUCUCGAAACUGAGUCGUUUGAAUCGUUCGCAGCGGUUGAUUCCUUCGUUUUCAACGGAGGCACCGCCGCCGCUGUAGAUCUUUGACUCGGAAGAACAUCACUCAGAGCCUCAUCGAGCUUUCGACUUGAAGAACAACCUACCGAGGAGAGAACCCAGUGAGCUCUCCUCAGACUCCAUCAAAAUCUCGUGGGAGAGGCCAGAUUUCUUAAUGGAAUUUGUAUUUAUACCUAGCCCUCUAAAAUCCAUCAAAAUCUAACAACUGAUGGAAUCCUUGAGAAUCUAUAGAGUUUUGAAUACCCUCGUAUUUUGAUGGAUAUUUUAAAAUCUGAAUCGAAUACAUCAAGAUUUAUAAGGAGUUUUUAAAAUUUGAUUGAAUACCCAUAGAUUUUCAGAAUCCAAAAAAAUCCAACAGACUCCCAAUUGAAUACACCCCCCUAUGUAGUUCAAGUCUCACCUUGGAACCUCUCACAGAAUUGUCUAUAAGCAUCAGAAGGAGCAGACAGGAUUUCAUCGGGAGAAGGGGAGGAACAAAGUGAUUGUCCAUUGCACAAUGUCGCCGGCAAUGGAUUGGAAGUCUCACCUGCACCACACAAACACACAAAACUCACUAAUUUGCUUAAAUUUCAUCAUAAAUUUCGGCUAAUCACUAAAAGCAUCAACUAGAUUAUAAGUCUAACCCUGAGACUGAAAACUUAAAUAAAAUGGUGCAUCAGUAACUACGACCUUUACCAUCAGACUUGCUUUGACAAGAAUAAGUGUGUGCCACUUUCACUGGAGAAUAAGGUGAUUGUGUAUUGUUGUUGUUUCUGGGUUGCUCUAGAACAGUAAAUGCCUCACCUGCACCAAAAGCUUUAUUAUAGUCAUAUAACAGCAUUGACCACCAACAAAAUGAAUCAACUUGAGAGAGUGAAAGUAGUGACAAACCUUGAAACCCAUCAUCAAGUUGGCCAGGACCAGACAGUCUUUGAGAAGAAGUGCGUGCAAGUUUCAUCGGAGAACCCGAUGAAUAAGGUGAUUGACCUCUAACAGGUGGCAGGUGAUUAAAUGCCUCACCUGCACCGAAAAUCUAGUCAUAUAACAGUGAUGACAACAAGUCCAGUAGUCCACAACCAAAUGAAUCAACUUGAGAAAGCAAAAUAUGACAAACCUUGUGACUUCUCAUGAACUUGUGCAUGAGUAGACAAUCUUUGAUAAGAACAACUCCCUGUUGCUUUCGAUGGAGAACCAUAGCAGUAAGGUAACCUGUCACUAACUGCCUCACCUGCACCAAAAUCCUUAACACUAUCACACACAAAACACUCAUAUGACCACAAUGCAAUGCAUCAAAAUAGAGAACGCAAGAAGCACAACAAACCUCGAGACCUCUCAUCAACUUGUACAUGAGCAAUAAAGCUUCCAUCACAGCUUCCGGGUUGCUCCACAACACCAUACACCUCACCUGCACCAAAACCCACAGAUCCAGUUUCCCUCACUAUAUCAAACCCACAGUAAAGAACACUGGAGACCAUCAUAUAUACCCCAACCCUGAACAUGAAGUGAUGAAAACUAUACCGAACCGGGAUCGAUCCAUGAACAUAAAUCAAUCAGAACUAACAAACCCUAAACAUUGGUAAGGCUGACGAGAUUAAUAAAUGGUAAACGGCGUGUUGUGUAAGCUUCGGCAAUGUAGACUGUAGAGUGGAGUUAAUUGAUUGAUAGGUUCAUAACUCUGAAGCAUGCAACGCCAUUUGUUUUUGGUCUUUUCCUAUCAAAAAUCCUACACUUCUAGUCCAAUUAUUCUUUAAUCCUGCACAUAAUCUGAUGCUAAUUUACCAAAACUAAAGAUCCUGAGCUCAAAUCAAGAACAAAAUCAACACUAGAACUCGACUCGACCCGAGAAUCGAAAUGGUACCUUGCUGAUUGGUCCCUGAAGGAGAGAGUGACGCUCUCCGAAGCUUCUCCGCUGGGCUUGUUCACCUAGAUCCACGAGACUUCAUCGGAAACCUCGGCAUCCGGAUCUGCGGCGCCGCCGAUCUUCGUGACCAGCCGGACCUUUCGCGAUGUGCUGGAGCGGCGUUUAGGGGUUUUGGUGAGGUCGGGGUUGCCGGAAGCCAUGUGAAAAAUUAGGUCUGGGAGAAAUUAGGGUUUCAAAUUCGAGAUCUGAAAGCUUCGAAAUUGAGAGAGAUGAGAGCAAAGGCCAGUUGGGAAUUGAAAUUGGGGGAAAUUGAAAUUUAGAGAGAACUAAAGCGGGGAGUGGGCGGAAGCAAAGAUGAAUAGGAUAGUCACCCACGCACGACGCGCCUCGCUAGGCGUGCUUACAAUUGACAGUUAAAACGAGUUAAUUACCUUUUCAUUUCCGUCAGAAAACAAACGCGGAGCACAGACGCUCCGGAGCAUUCCAGACGUCUCCUCUCCUUCUAUCUUCUCCUCCCUUCUUUCUUUGUCUGUAACUCAUCAAAGCUUCAUUGUUCAUUCUUCCUUCAUAAACGUUUUUAGCUGAAAAACGUAUCUGUGGUGAACUCGAAAACGAAUCUCUCUUAGCCGGUGUACAGAAAUAAAGAAGUCUUUCACACUACCAGAAAUGUGGGCAACAAACACCAUCAUAAUGAUGUGCAUUGAACCAAUGGAAACUAAUCAGUGGUGUGGAUUCAUGAUAGCCACGGCCCUAGCCACUAUUAUGAGAUUAGUUUGCAUUGCUGGCGUGGCUUUUCCUAACAAUACACUAUCAUCUUUUUGGUGACUACAUAUAUACUCACUAAUUCAAUCUUUGGUGACUUCAUUGAAUUAAUAAAUAAAAAAAUAUUCAGCUAUAAAACUCUAUGGGUCCUACAUAUUCAGCAAAAGCAUCUUCAAAACCAGCUUCUUUAAAUUCAAAACCGCGAUCUCUAUCUCGUCUCUAGUAUCUCCUGCAAAGCAACAACAUGGGCAAAGAUUACUUGGCUAUAAAUCACCCCUCAUAAUUUUAUUUCCUUCAUAUAACAGAUGAUAUGUAUCUUGUGGAAAUAAAAUCAAUGUAUCCAGUGGAAAUAAAAUUAACUUGAAGCUCAUAAACUAUCAACAUGUUCAUAACCCGUGACUUUGUAAAAAUAUAAACUUAAAGCUCAUAAACUAUCAACAUGUUCAUAACCCCUGACUUCAUACCUAUAUCAACUUGAUGAACAAGUUCAUAUAAAAGCUCCCUACAUGUUAUGUAUCACAUACCUUAGUUCUUAAUACAAGAUAAUCCUCUCCUCUCUCUUUUUCCAUCACUAAAAUGCAAGUAUAGUGUACAAAGUCCACAUCUUUUCCUGCAAGCAGAAAAACACACUUUGGGUAAGUUGGCCAGAAAACAUACAAUAAAUUUCUUUUGGGUAAGAACCUUAGAAGAAACAAUUAUCAUUCACAUUUAUUAUAGUAAAACCUGGUUCAAGUUCAUAAAUUAAGCAUCUAUCGGCAUAGUUGACACAUAGAAGGUAAAAUCUGAAGCUAGAAAUGAGGUUAUAGUGAACAAUAAUGUAUUAUGAAUUAAGUUCCCAAGGAAUGGUAGUAUCAUAUAUAGUAAUGGUAGUAUCAGCCCACUUUUAUGGAUGAUGCAUAUUCAAUUACUGAUUCACAUUUACAAAAGAAUAUAAGCGUACCUUAUUGAGUGAACGACAUUUUUUUGUCUCCUCAUUCAUACGGUCUUGCAGCUUUCUGUUUCAGAAUGAACACCCUACAAAAAAAACUGCAUAUGACCAGUCAGUUAAGAAUCUUAAGAAGUUCAAAUAGAUUGAUAUGAAUCAAGGACAAUUGUAUACAAAUUAAGAACUGAUAAGGAGGGAAGAUAAAUAUGUAGGUGAAGUUUACCUCCUUCAACACCAGGGCAUCUAACUAUUCUUUUGUCAUGGUAAGACUUGACUAUAGGAGGCGCUUCCUAUAACACAGACAACAUACUAGCCUCAAUACACAAUAAUGGAAGCCCUAAACAUUAUUUGUACAUGUUCUAAACCAUGUAAACAUGCUUCAACUUUACCAGUUGAAAUUGACACAUAAGAGGUGCACAAUACGCAUAUUUUUUUGUCUAUUCAUUCGAUAGAAAGCAAUUAACCAUGUAACCACAAAAUUCAUAUGGUAAGAUCGAGGAGUCUGACAACUAUUAUCUCUUUUUUCAUUCAUUCACUCGAAGAUCAAAAUAUAAAUAAAAAACACCUUCCCCUCGAUAGUUAUUAGAAAUCUGCAAUUAGGAAUCAAAAGACUCUUGUUUAAGGUCUAAAAGUAUGAAUGUAAAAGCCCACUUCUACGACAACAAAUGCCAAAGUCAUCUCAUAUAAUUUAUGAAUAAUGAAGCAAGAACAUGAAACAAAAAAAUUAAAUCUUCAGAGUACCUUAGUACCAAAAGGAUUAAUUGGAUUAUUAAUCUCAAGAAUUUCCUCCCCUAAAAAUUAAGUCUUCGGAGUACCUUAGUACCAAAAGCAGAUAUAAACUAACAAUAAUAUGAAGUUUGACUAUCAUAUUCAUCUCAUCACCCAAAAACAGUGAUGUAAGCUACUUAAUAUAACAGACCAUAAAAGCUGGAAGAAGCUAGUUAUGCAGUAAUUCUCUAUUUGGUGUAAAGAAUAUAAAACUCCAAAGAAACUGCAUUUGAUUGAAGAGUUCAUAAAAUUGAUUUCCCAUCAAGAAUAUACAGUCACAUUUAAGAUUGAUACAAAAGACAUAUCUACAAGUUAAAUGUGCAGACAUACUGACAAUUAAACAUUAGUGUCUACAUGAACUCCUUUUUUUCUUAUUGAUACAUGAACUCCUUUUAUACCACAUCAAACUAAUAAUAAUCAAGUUAUUAGUAGAGUCCUUACUUAAACCUCAUGAACAUUACAAAGUAUUGAAAGCGAAUAAACAUCUCAGAGAACAGAACUCACCAGGUAAACAACUUCUAUUAAAUAAUUCUCGACAUUGUCAUUUCUGAAACAACAGUAUCAAGAAUAAGCACCCAAAUUAACUAUUAUAUAGUCAGCAGUUAUAAAAUUUCAUCAAAAAAGAAUUUUCAUCAGUUAAAUUAUAUCACCUUCCACAGUUCCACCUUUCAUUAUCCUAAAGAUCAUGAAAAUGUCCAUUCCUUUUCUGUUCUUUUGACCAGUGUGAUAAGCUUCAUUCCAACCCUAAAAAAUUAACCCCAAAGUUCAAGUUUUGCGGUGGAGAAAGAAUGCAUGCAAGAGCCUCUAAAACCAAAAUAAAGAAUUAUGAUGCACAAGAAAAGAAAAGCACAACAUACCAAAGCAAUUAAAUAUAACAACUUCAUUACAAAUGUAAAAACGAAGCAGAUAGGGAGAUACACUGACUUGUUCCUCUUUCCAUUCAUCGGGUCGGAGCACCAGUUAAUCUUUCACAGCCCAUGGUGAUCUGCAAAAUUUUCAAUCGAUCAAUCUUCAUACUAUGCUGAAAGAUGAUAUCGGAAACCAAUCAAUGAAGCGAGAUUGGGAUUUAAGAUUUUCAUUACUUGCAGCGCCGACGAAGACACGGAGUUGGAUUAGAUCGGCGUAUGGCCGAAACAGACAGAGUAAUUUAGAGGCUUGUCGAGCUGCGGUAGCUGAGAGAGAGAGAGAGAGAGAGAGAGAGAGAGAGAGAGAGAGAGAGAGAGAGAGAGNNNNNNNNNNNNNNNNNNNNGGAGAGGAACUUCGUUAUGCACCAUAAGAAAAAAGAGAUAAACUCAUAAAAGUAUAAUUUUAUAACUUUAAACAAUAUUGGUGACGGUCAAACAGUUGUGGUUUUUGCUAAUAGUGACACCGUUAUAAGGAUUGGGGAGAAAUCCUAUGGGUUAUGUCACCAUUAGACUAAUAGUGCAUAGAAAAUAGUAUCUGAUGCCCACAUUUGUGGUAGUGUCAUCUGCAGUCAUAGUCUCAAGAAUGACAAAUCGUCAUCAUCUGAAGUAUUGAGGCAUGUCAGAGAUUUCCAAUCUUCCUUCAAAAGGUUAGAUUUUUCCUUCCAUGACCCAUGUAAUAUCAGGAUUUAAGUGGGUAUAACAUGACUGAGAAAUUUGAAAAUAGGAAUUUAUUGGUUAUGAUUUCUUCAUGAUUUUCUGCUAACAUAAAUUCUCAAUUUUUUUUUCAUAUAUUAUUUCUUAGGAAAUUGAAUUCUGGUGAAGUUAAUCAAUGUGUUUGCAUAUAGGCGUCAACAGAUCGAGCUUGGCUGAGUAGUUGCCUCCUCCACAUGUAUAUGUGUUGGCUUUAAACUCAGUCUUCUACUAUAUGUGAUGUUUUGUUUCGUUAAGUGUUUAUUUUGUGAUCUUGUUUCGUCAAGUGCUGAUGUUUCUUAAUAUCUUUUAUUAAACAGCGACAAGCGUGGCUCGUGGAUCACAUUGUACCGAUACUGUCCCAACUUAACCACCUUUAAGGUGUUGGGUUUUAAUCACAAAAGGCCUCGGUACAAUUGGAUAAGAUCCAUCCACAUAUAAGUUAUAUUUUAUUUGUCACUUUUCUGAUGUGGGAUUUAUUCCUCUCUAAUACUUCUAAUACGCCCCCUCACGUGCAACCUGACUUAAGGUCCGCACGUGGAAUGAAUCGGGACGGAACGAACCAAGGGACACUUAGUGACAAUCCAAUCGGAAUAUUCCGAUGGUGAGACAAGAAGCCGGAACCGGGCGAGAAAAUAGAAUCCCGGACCGGACGAGAGAAUGAACCCAAAUCGGGCCCAUGAGAAUUGGAGAAGUAAUUGGAGAGGGACCCGCUCUGAUACCAUGUUAAACAGCGACAAGCGUGGCCUAUGGAUCACAUUGUACCGAUACUGUCCCAACUUAACCACCUUUAAGGUGUUGGGUUUUAAUCACAAAAGGCCUCGGUACAAUUGGAUAAGAUCCAUCCACAUAUAAGUUAUAUUUUAUUUGUCACUUUUCUGAUGUGGGAUCUAUUCUUCUCUAAUACUUCUAAUAUUUUUGUCUACUUUUCAGGUAUGUGUUCUUGCAAAAUUUAUUAGCCUUAGCUGAAGUUGUUGUUGAGCUUGACUUACAGAAUGAGGUUGGGGAAAUACAAAGAUUAGCCUUUUCGACUUUGCAAAGGAUGGAUCAGGCCAUCAGGGGACGAGCAUCAUUAGUUAGUUUCAACUUUCAACAAUAGUUUUUUAGAUUAGCUCCAUGUAAAUAGAUUAGCUCCAUUUCCCUCCUGGCCUCCUGGGAAAUUUUGAUUAGUUGUGCUUUGUUGUGGAUUUCCUGCAAAUCAGUUAAUGAAUAUAAUCAUUUAGAGAAACUCCGUAUUUCUAUGAAUAAUUGGACGUAUUUCUAUAAAUAAUCGGGUAUUUCUCUAAAUAAAUACAAACCAAUUUGAAUAAGAGCCGUCAGAUAUAUGGUGGGCCCAGAUAAUUCACAUUUAUAACAGCUGUUGAAUUUUACACAUUUUUUUUACAAUCCACACACCUCUAUCUCACUUUUUAUAAGAAAAUGUCUAAAAUGACUCUAUUUUAGACAACUAGAAAAAUUAAAACAUGGAUAGUUUAGACAUUUUCUUAUAAAAAGUAGGGUUUAGGUGUGUAAAUUUCACUCCCCUUAUAUUGACCCUUAAAAUGGUAAUAUAAAAUGGGUCCCAACUUUGAUAGCACCCACGAAUGUUUCGUAUACGUGAGAUUUUUAAGCUAUCGCCAUGGCAUUAGUCCGCAAAUCGUGACCAAGCCCAAUGCACACGAUUAUUCGUAGGUAAAAAGGCAACUCCCACGAAACAAAUUCCUAGCUAUACCCAGUUUUUUUUUUUUUUUUUUAGUGAUGGCUGAUUAAGUUGGAUAAGAGCUAGAUGUAUUGGUUCCACUUCCACCUCCAUGUAAACACAAAACUAUUGUAAUUUACCACACAAUAACUAAUUAGCAAAGACUAGUAGAAUACGUAUAUGUACUAAUGUACACCAAGGACUGACACCAAACUAACAAUUCAGGUGGCCCAUAUAUAACCGAGUUCGUUUUAUAAUUCGAGUUCUUACAUCUUUUUAAUAGAUUGAGCUGAUCAAGCAAAAAUUCGAAUCAAACAAAUGAAGUAAACGGAUCAAUGAACACAGGUUAUUCAAUAUGCAUGAUUGUGAUGUUACUGAAAUUAAUGGACAAUCAAUUUCAGUAUAAAGCUUAAGGUUAGCUGAGCAUGUCGUCUUAAUUAACUGCAGUACGUAUAGAUGAUCUGUUCUCAUUCAGUGUGCUGAUGUUCAUCUUCAGAAUGGAAAUCUGAAGUUGUGAAGAUGUAGUUUUUGAGAGCCCCGAGAAUGAUCCAUGCACAAUAGCACGAAAGACGAAAACUGAAGUGGAAGUAGAAUUUUUCUGUAAACUUUGUACCUACAAAAUUAAGUUUAAUAAUUUUCAGAUUCUUAUGCAGAGGUUUGGGUACGCAUGAAUCAAGAGAUCAGUGAAAGCAUAUUCUCAUCAUAAUUAACAUCAUACUUUCUGCAAUUUGUUCUCAAAUUGGAUUACCUAUAUAUAAAUUCUAGGCCAUAUAGAAAAUUAGAAAUAUAAGGUUGUUCAGCUUCCAUUCCGUGGAUGGAAAAUUCUAGUAUACCAUAUGGUAUAACAUACCUCACAAAAUAUGUGGCUAUCAUUGAUUGAAAAAACAACUAAAUGACCAUGUAAUGACUAUUUACCCCUUCAAAAGCCCACAUAGGCAUGUCAUACCAUAUGGUAUGAUAAACAAACCCUCCGUGGAUAUAUUUGUUAAAGAUCCUUGAAUCAUUUCCCCCAAAAAAGAAAAAGAAAAAAAAAGGAGAUCCUUGAAUCAGAGGUUAUAUAGGCUUUGAUGAAUGUCGUAUAUUGCUCGUCAUUUUCUUGAUGCAUCUAAUUAAGUACGUAGUUGGAGAAAACAAGAUGCCAGUGAAUCUAAUACCAAGAUUUCUUGCAGGGCUGCUUAAUAUCAAGUUAUCAACUAUUGUGAGUUACUAAAAUGAUUGAGUUCGUAUGUGGGUGAAGAUUUCACAUGGAAAUUUUGAUACAGAGAUAUGUAAUUAUGCAAACAGAUCCGUUCAUAUAUUCCUUUCCAUCGACAAACAAGUUACAUCAACACAGGCACACUUGAAAGAAAUCCCAUUUACAACAGUUGCGCACACAUGAUUAAAUCGAUCACUUCACUCCAAAACUUUCAAACCUCACUUUCCGGGAACAAAGUUUGUGGCAUAUGACCAAGCGUUGUUGUUAACAGGGUCAGCCAAGUGAUCAGCUAGGUUCUCAAUCGGUCCCUUUCCGGUAACAAUAGCUUGCACGAAGAAUCCGAACAUGGAAAACAUAGCCAGUCUUCCGUUCUUGAGCUCCUUCACCUUAAGCUCAGCAAAAGCCUCAGGAUCGUCUGCAAGCCCUAAAGGGUCAAAGCUCCCACCGGGGUACAACGGGUCUACUACCUCACCGAGAGGACCUCCUGCAAUUCUGUAGCCUUCAACAGCACCCAUCAAGAUCACUUGUGUUGCCCAGAUUGCCAAAAUGCUUUGAGCGUGGACCAAGCUAGGGUUUCCCAAGUAGUCUAGUCCACCCUCACUGAAGAUUUGAGCUCCAGCCUUGAACCAAACAGCUUCGCCGAACUUGACUCCAUUACGAGCCAAGAGUUCAGGGAAAACACAGCCAAGGGCACCUAGCAUGGCCCAUCUGGAAUGGAUGACUUCGAGCUCACGGUUCUUGGCAAAGGUCUCAGGAUCAGCUGAGAGCCCAGCUGUGUCCCAGCCGUAGUCACCGGGAAACUCUCCGGUGAGGUAAGACGGGGCUUCGCCGGAGAAUGGUCCCAAGUACUUGACACGGUCAGGACCGUACCACGGGCUGACGGAUGACACAUUCUUUGACUUGGCUGCGGUUUUGCGCAUGGUAACUCGGCCCUCACCGAGGAGGUUAGAUGUGGAGGAACCAAGCUUCACAGCUUGGCCAGCUAGAGAAGGGGAGGAGAGAGCCAUUGUUGAAGAAGCCAUUUGAGGAAAGUGUUGAGAGUUCUCAGCUUAGACAAUGUGGGGUGGUGAGGGCCGAGGGUUUGUGUUUUGAGUAGAGCCGUUGGUGGCUAUUUGUAUAGGGUUUUGUGUGGGGGUUCUUUAUCUUUUUGAUAUCUUCAUCUCUAUUCUUAUUGGGUGAUAGUGAAGUUUGAAGAUUUUUCCCUUCAACGGAUCUCUGCAUUUCCAGUUGGCCUCGUAUGCUCCACUACUAAGUUCAGUUAGUUCCAAAAAUAGAAAGACAUGCAGAGACAAAAAUGGAAAUCUGUUGUGGAUGUACUCUAUCGAAAAUAAAAUCUGUUGUGGAUACUCUGUGCUUUGAUUUCCAGCUAAUAGACGGUGACCACGUCAGCUUUGGAUCAGGGUAAUGGCUGAUUAAGAUUCUUGGAUAAGAGCUAGAUGUAUUAGUUCCACCUCCAUGUAAUGUACGUAUAUGUACACAAAGAAGUUAAUUAACUAGCAAAGAAUAGUAGAAUACGUAUAUGUACAUAAAGGACUAAUACCAAACUAACAUGCAACUCAGGUGAUCCCAUAUUAAUUAUAACGAGUUCGUUUUAUAAUUCGAGUCGUUACAUCUGUUUGAAAGACUAAGUUUAUCAUGUAAUAAUUUGAAUCAAACAAAUGAAGUAAACGGAUCAAUGAACACUGGUUAUUAAUGCAUGAUUGUGAUGUAUAUAUGUUACUGAAAUGGACAAGCAGUGUUUCUGUAUAAGCUUAAGUUUUCGCCAGAUCAAUUGAAGGAGGCCGAGCAUGUCGCCUAAAUUAACUGCAGUACAUAGACGAUCUGUUCCCAUUCAGUGUGAUGAUGUUCAUCUUCAGAAUGGAAAUCUGAAGUUGUGAAGCAAAAUGUAGUUUAUGAGAGCCCCAAGAAUGAUCCAAUGCACGAUGGCCUCCUGAAAGUCGAAAACUGAAGUAGAAGUAGAAAUUUUCUGUUAACUUUAUACCUACAAGUUUAAUAAUUUCAUGGACGCAUGAAUCAAGAGAUCAGUGAAAGAACAUUGUCAUCAUACUUUCUGCAAGCUAUCCUCAAAUUGGAUUACCUAUACAUGAAUUCAAGGCAUCAGCCAAAAGCCCAAAAGUAGUAUUGCAUAUAGGUUGUCCAGCUUCCAUGUUUGUCAUAAGGAUCCUCAAAUCAGCAUUAGUGGCUUUGAUUGAAUUUCAUAUAUCGCUUGUCAAUUUGUUGAUGCAUCUAAUUAAGUCGGAGAAAUUAUACAAGAUGUGUCAGAUAUUUCCAUGAUUUCUGGCAAUGCUGCUUAGAGCUGAUUCAUUAACUUGUGAGUUAAUAAAAGAUGAUUGAGCUUGUAUAGUUGUAUAUAUGGGUGAAGAUUUUACAUAAAAUUUUUAGUACAGAGCAAUUUAAGCAAACAGAUCUGUUGAUAUAUUCCUUUCCAUCGACAAACAAGUUACAUCAACAGAAACACACUUGAAAGAAAUCCCAUUUACAACAGUUGCAAACACAGAUGAUUCGAUCGAUCACUUCUCUCCCAAGCUUUCAAACCUCACUUUCCGGGAACAAAGUUGGUGGCAUAGGACCAAGCGUUGUUGUUAACAGGGUCAGCCAAGUGGUCAGCUAGGUUCUCAAUCGGUCCCUUUCCGGUAACAAUAGCUUGUACGAAGAAUCCGAACAUGGAAAACAUGGCCAGUCUUCCGUUCUUGAGCUCCUUCACCUUAAGCUCAGCAAAAGCCUCAGGAUCGUCUGCAAGCCCCAAGGGGUCAAAGCUCCCACCGGG
rnacentral:lncRNA from 1 species